GACGAACGCUGGCGGCGUGCUUAACACAUGCAAGUCGAACGGAAAGGACCUGCAUUUGUGGGGUGCUCGAAAGGCGAACGUGUGAGUAACACGUGAGUAACCUGCCCCUGACUAUGGGCUUACUUCUGGCAACUGGGGCGAAUACCGGAUACGAGCUCAUUAUGAAUGGUCAGGUUUGUAAGGUUUCGGCGGAUGGGGAUGGCCUCGCGGCUUAUCAGCUUGUUGGUGGGGUAGUGGCUUACCAAGGCGUUGACGGGUAGCCGGCCUGAGGGGGGGACCGGCCACAUUGGGACUGAGAUACGGCCCAGACUCAUACGGGACGCAGCAGUGGAGAAUAUUGCACAAUGGGCGGAAGCCUGAUGCAGCAACGCCGCGUGCGGGAUGACGGCCUUCGGGUUGUAAACCGCUUUCGCCUGUGACGAAGAGUGAGUGACGGUAAUGGGUAAAGAAGCACCGGCUAACUACGUG
rnacentral:rRNA from 1 species